UGGGGAAUAUUGCACAAUGGGCGCAAGCCUGAUGCAGCCAUGCCGCGUGUAUGAAGAAGGCCUUCGGGUUGUAAAGUACUUUCAGCGGGGAGGAAGGGAGUAAAGUUAAUACCUUUGCUCAUUGACGUUACCCGCAGAAGAAGCACCGGCUAACUCCGUGCCAGCAGCCGCGGUAAUACGGAGGGUGCAAGCGUUAAUCGGAAUUACUGGGCGUAAAGCGCACGCAGGCGGUUUGUUAAGUCAGAUGUGAAAUCCCCGGGCUCAAACUGGGAACUGCCUCUGAUACUGGCGAGCUUGAGUCUCGUAGAGGGGGGUAGAAUUCCAGGUGUAGCGGUGAAAUGCGUAGAGAUCUGGAAGAAUACCGGUGGCGAAGGCGGCCCCCUGGACGAAGACUGACGCUCAGGUGCGAAAGCGUGGGGAGCAAACAGG
rnacentral:rRNA from 1 species